UCCCUUCUAAAUUGAAGAUUGAUUCAGGUCAUGGAGUAGCCAAAGAGAAUCAAAUGAGUGACAACCUCCAGCUGUUAUAUAAACAUCAUAUAAUCCUUCAUAUCAUGUAUCAUGCAACCUUCACAAGACCCACAACUCGCAGGUCUAUCAUUGAGUACAUUCAUAUAGCCUAAGGACAUCUUAUCAUAUAUAUAUAUAGAGAG
rnacentral:lncRNA from 1 species